rnacentral:tRNA from 1 species
UAGCGAAGACUUUAGGAGAGAUGGCCGAGUGGUUUAUGGCUCCGGUCUUGAAAACCGGCAUAGGUUACAAACUAUCGGGGGUUCGAA